GCCGAAAUAGCUCAGUUGGUAGAGCAUCUCACUUGUAAUGAGGCGGUCGGGAGUUCGAGUCUCUCUUUCGGCACCA
rnacentral:tRNA from 1 species